AUCACUUCUCAGCCUUUUGGCUAAGAUCAAGUGUAGUAUCUGUUCUUAUCAGUAUAGUAUCUGGUACAUCCUCUAUAUGAAGACAACAUAUUAAAUGGAUUUUGGGAGCAGGGAGAUGGCAUAGGAGCUUGCUGGGUCCACUCCACACAUCGACCCAGUAAGGACUGCUUCUGGGAAGGAUGUACAAGAA